UACGGAGGAUGCAAGCGUUAUCCGGAUUCAUUGGGUUUAAAGGGCGCGUAGGCGGCUUUUUAAGUCAGCGGUGAAAUUUUGCAGCUUAACUGUAACAGUGCCGUUGAUACUGGGGAGCUAGGAUUUGGUUGCUGUGGGUGGAAUGUGUGGUGUAGCGGUGAAAUGCUUAGAGAUCACACAGAACACCGAUUGCGAAGGCAGCACACUAAGUCAUUAUUGACGCUGAGGCACGAAAGUGUGGGGAUCAAACAGGAUUA
rnacentral:rRNA from 1 species